rnacentral:pre_miRNA from 1 species
AAUUGAUUUUGGUUAAAAGUGAGUUGGAUGUGAAUUGAUUAUGUUUGGAUACACUUAUUUAAAAGUGGUUGGAUAAGCCUUUUAAUUGAUUUUGAACAUUAAAUGACCAACUUACCCUUUUAAUUGUA